UCGAAUCUAAUAUUUUUUAGAAGAUAGAAGGAUUUAUUUUUUUUCUAAAUAAGGAUAUGCGUUUUUUAUGAUAAUUUAAUAAUCAGUAUUUUCUUAUUAAUAUGACAAAAGUGAAGAAAUAAAAAUUCUUUUAAUUUCUUUAAAAACCACAUUUGAUUAUUUAAAUAUUUAAAAAUAUAUUUUUUAUUUUUUUUUAAAAUAAAUCUAUAUAAAAUCAAAUCAUUAAUAAAUAUAUAAAUUUAUAAUUUAUAUUAAAUAAAGAAAAAUAUUAAAUAUUAAAUUAACGAAAGUAAGAGGUAUGACAGGAUUGGCAAGAAAACCCCUAGGGUCAACCACAAGCAAAAGUAUAGAGGGAUAUUUGCAAAUGGGACAUGGUCACCUUGCCUUUAAUUGGGCAAGUCAGGGUGGCGGCUCAUGGAAAAAAAUUUACUAAAUUUUUAUAUUAGACACUUGCUAACAUAGAGAGAGAGAGAAACCAUGAACCAUAAUUUUUUUUGUAAAUGCAUUAUUAAUUGUUCCAUAGAUUUAUGCAACAUGUACAAGUAGCAGGCUUGAGAAAUUAUGGUUGUAUAAACUUAUGCAAUAAUUAUGUCAGCAUUUAUGUAAAGGAAAAUUAAUCACUGCAAUUGCAAAUAGCCUUAUGAUUAG
rnacentral:misc_RNA from 1 species